GAUGAACGCUGGCGGCGUGCCUAAUACAUGCAAGUCGAGCGAACGGACGAGGAGCUUGCUUCUCUGAUGUUAGCGGCGGACGGGUGAGUAACACGUGGAUAACCUACCUAUAAGACUGGGAUAACUUCGGGAAACCGUAGCUAAUACCGGAUAAUAUUUUGAACCGCAUGGUUCAAAAGUGAAAGACGGUCUUGCUGUCACUUAUAGAUGGAUCCGCGCUGCAUUAGCUAGUUGGUAAGGUAACGGCUUACCAAGGCAACGAUGCAUAGCCGACCUGAGAGGGUGAUCGGCCACACUGGAACUGAGACACGGUCCAGACUCCUACGGGAGGCAGCAGUAGGGAAUCUUCCGCAAUGGGCGAAAGCCUGACGGAGCAACGCCGCGUGAGUGAUGAAGGUCUUCGGAUCGUAAAACUCUGUUAUUAGGGAAGGACAUAUGUGUAAGUAACUGUGCACAUCUUGACGGUACCUAAUCAGAAAGCCACGGCUAACUACGUG
rnacentral:rRNA from 1 species